rnacentral:rRNA from 1 species
AGCGAACGCUGGCGGCAGGCUUAACACAUGCAAGUCGAGCGCCCCGCAAGGGGAGCGGCAGACGGGAGAGUAACACGUGGGAACGUACCCUUUAGUUCGGAACAACCCAGGGAAACUUGGGCUAAUACCGGAUACGUCCGUAAGGAGAAAGAUUUAUCGCUAAAGGAUCGGCCCGCGUCUGAUUAGCUAGUUGGUGAGGUAACGGCUCACCAAGGCGACGAUCAGUAGCUGGUCUGAGAGGAAGAUCAGCCUCACUGGGACUGAGACACGGCCCAGACUCCUACGGGAGGCGGCAGUGGGGAAUAUUGGAAAAUGGGCGCAAGCAUGAGCCAGCCAUGCCGCGUGGGUGAUGAAGGCCCUAGGGUUGUAAAGCCCUUUCGGCGGGGAAGAUAAUGACGGUACCCGCAGAAGAAGCCCCGGCUAACUUCGUGCCAGCCGCCGCGGUAA